UUUGUUUGAAGUCACAUCUUUCUUGACAUAAACCUGAGACAUCUAAAGCUACAAAGAAAGAUUGAAUUUUUUUGUUGUUCCCUGCUGGCUGCCCCACGUGAUCUCAGUGAUGGGAAAUAAGGAGAACUCACAGGAAUUUAAGAGCCAUGAAACACCUACUGGGUGGCCGGGACUCCCUAUGGACGUAUACAGCAAGCAGCUCAUUUAAAUCUUAUGAGGUAGGGACUGUCACUGCCCUCAUUUACAGAGGAGGAGAUUGAGGCUCAGAGGAGUGAUGUAACUUGACCACAGUCACACGCGGACGAGUGGUGGAGGUGGGAUUCAACCACAGGAUCUGCCAAGAGGAAAGGAAGCCCAUAUUGUACAUGCCACAUCUCAUUAUCCACUGGAGGAGAGAGGACGGUGGGGAAUGCUCAUGGGGUCAAGGAGUUUGCUAACUUGAUCGCAGAGUGAGAAGAAACCGAGAAGGGCUUGCAGACAAAGGGUAUGGGCUAUUCAAAAGUGCCGAGG
rnacentral:lncRNA from 1 species